ACACUCAGACCUUUGUCACCAUCUCAAGGACCUUUUUUUCCCUCUUCCUCCUUUCACGAUGGAGCCAGACCCUGCACGCAGCAGACACGGACUGAGGACUUCAUGUAUUCCAGAUUCUCCCCACAGCAACUGGAAGAAGUAGCUGACGUUGCUCUCCCCAUUUUACAGAUGUGAGAAUGGAAGAAGUUAAGAUGGAUCCAAGCCAGUUGAUGAGGAAACUGAGGCUCAGAGAGGGGAAGUAACUUACCCAAGACUGCACAGCAGUAAGCGGCAGAACCUGGACCCAGCCCCUGGCUCCAGACCCCCACUGCUCUGCUGACCUGCAGGGGCCUCGAAUCAACAUAAAGCCUUUCACCCCUAGCCUGCUCCUGUCUCAACCUCAACCUCCAGAGAACAUCCAUCCUCCAUGGAGCCUCCCAGCCUGAGCCCUCUGAGCUGCCUCCCUUCUUCUCUCCCCUCAGCCCAGGCUUCCCUAUCACCCCACAGAGAGCCUCGGAGCCACCCUUGGGAGCUUCACAGCUGCCUGGCUUUGGGAUCUUUGCUCUGAGAGACCCCAAGAUGGAGCAGCAGCCCCUAUGCUGUGGCCCACCGGGCAGGCUUGGUUUUAUGCCAUCUUCCCAGCUACCCCUUGGGGUACGGGUUUUAUCACCCCCUUAUACAGAAGGGGUCAGGGAUCAAAGCAGGCAAGCCAUUUGCCCAGAACCACACAGCUGUUGCCAGAGUUGGGAUCCAAAUGCAGGACUGUCCUUGGCCAUACCGCCUUCUGGAUGUCCCUACAGUGGCUCUGCCCAGUCAAGAGCCCCUGUUGCCCGGGGAGACCCCUCUUCACAUCCUCAUGACAAUGACAAUCCCACGAGUUAAACAUUUCACAUG
rnacentral:lncRNA from 1 species